rnacentral:rRNA from 1 species
UACGGAGGGGACUAGCGUUGUUCGGAAUUACUUGGCGGUAAAGCGCACGUAGGCGGAUUUGUAAGUCAAGGGGUGAAAUCCCGGGGCUCAACCCCGGAACUGCCCUUUUGAUACUGCGAAUCUCGAGUCCGGAAGAGGUUGAGUGGGAAUUCCUAGUGUAGAGGUGAAAUUCGAUAGAUAUCGGAAGAACAUCAGUGGCGAAGGCGACUUCCUGGAAUAAUACUGAACACUGAGGAGCGAAAGCGUGGGGAGCGAACAGG